AUGGAUCGGCGCGACGGGGCGGGCAAUCGGGGCCGGAGCUACGCGCGCGGCAACGCCCGAGGCCGAGGAUGGCCGGGCCGGUGUGAAGACCGCGGCCGCCCCUCCACACAACCUCCUCCCUCCACCGCCCCCGCCGCCGCGGUCAUCCCCAGCGACGCCCAGCCGAUCGUGGGCACCUGUCCCGACAUGUGCCCGGCUACAGAGAGAGCGCAGAGGGAGCGGCUCCGAGAUCUGGCCGUGUUUGAGCGUGUGAGCAGCGACCCCAUGCGCACGUCCCAUUCCCUCGCCGUCAAGAAGGUGAGCCGUCCAUGA
rnacentral:rRNA from 1 species